GCAAAAAUAAAAGUGUGGGACCUGCAGGCGGCGCUUGACCCUCGGGCCCCCGCUAGCACAUUAUGUCUGCGCACUCUAGUGGAGCACUCUGGCCGGGUUUUCCGCCUGCAGUUUGACGAGUUCCAGAUCAUCAGCAGUUCUCACGACGACACCAUUCUGAUCUGGGAUUUCCUGAACGUCUCGCCCAACGGCCAGUCAGAGGGGCCGGUCUCCUUCCCGUACCUACAACGUACAUUUCUAGAUAGCAGGUGGCGCCAUACAACUCGCCUUUUUAUAGGAGGAAAUCCAGGGCUGAUUGGCUGAUGGGUGCAUCUGUCGCAAAAAGGAGCGCGUCUUUUUUUUCCCCCUCCUCUUCCUCCUGGUCAUCUCUCUGUCCAUCUCCCACUCAGCCCCCCCCUCCUGCCCGUUCUGACGGACCCUUAAAGCUUGUGCCCAUCGCCUGCCAGUUCAGCGACACGCAUACAGGCCAACACUGAGGACUCCCCACUGCAGAACCGACGCAACUCUCCCAAGACGUUCUGCUACUAAUUUAUGUUUUGUAAAGUACACUAAUGACAGUAUUAACAUAGACCUGGCAAAAACCCACAACUUUUUUUUUUCUUUUUUUUUUUUUUUUUUUUUUUUUUUGGUCCCCUU